AUCAACUUUCGAUGGUAGGAUAGAGGCCUACCAUGGUGGUAACGGGUAACGGGGUGUUAGGGCACGACACCGGAGAGGGAGCCUGAGAAACGGCUACCACAUCCAAGGAUGGCAGCAGGCGCGCAAAUUACCCAAUCCCGACACGGGGAGGUAGUGACAAUAAAUAACAAUACGGGGUUCUUUCGGAUUUCGUAAUUGGAAUGAGUACAAUUUAAAUCUCUUAACGAGGAACAAUUGGAGGGCAAGUCUGGUGCCAGCAGCCGCGGUAAUUCCAGCUCCAAUAGCGUAUAUUAAAGUUGCUGCAGUUAAAAAGCUCGUAGUUGAAUUUCGGGACCAAUAUGUCGGUCGUGCCUCGGUACGUACUGGCAUCGUUGGUUUCUCCCUUCUGACGAACCAUGAUGUCAUUCAUUUGGUGUCGUGGGGAAUCAGGACUGUUACUUUGAAAAAAUUAGAGUGUUUAAAGCAGGCUCACGCUUGAAUACAUUAGCAUGGAAUAAUGAAGUAGGACGUUUGAUUCUAUUUUGUUGGUUUCUAGGAUCGACGUAAUGAUUAAUAGGGAUAGUUGGGGGCAUUAGUAUUCAAUUGUCAGAGGUGAAAUUCUUGGAUUUAUUGAAGACUAACUACUGCGAAAGCAUUUGCCAAGGAUGUUUUCAUUAAUCAAGAACGAAAGUUAGGGGAUCGAAGACGAUCAGAUACCGUCGUAGUCUUAACCAUAAACUAUGCCGACUAGGGAUCGGAUGAUGUUAAUUUUUUAAUGACUCAUUCGGCGCCUUACGGGAAACCAAAGUGUUUGGGUUC
rnacentral:rRNA from 1 species